rnacentral:ribozyme from 13 species
UUUUGUUUUUUUUUUUUUUUUUCCAACAAAAAUGAUUUUUAAUAUUUCAAUCUCAAAAUUGUAAAAGACUAACACCGAAGGAUGCGCCUGCCUCGUUGAAAUAAUAAAAAAUUAUUCAAAAAUAUUCUUCCUUUUAU